rnacentral:siRNA from 1 species
GCCGGUGCUUGUCGCAGCGAUCA